ACGUCAUUGCCUUAAUAUCUCACCGGUCGCUUCCGACAUAAAAUAAGUAUUUAUAUAAAAAACAAAAGAAUUUUAUUUGGGAUUCGCAGACGCGGCGUGCGAUGUAGACUCUAAUCCUAACUUUCUGGCGCUUGAGGAAUGCGACGUUAUGGGAACUGGCCAGCCCAUAAUUUAGCCCUCUUGAGUUGUUGUUAGAGAAUUGUCUGCAGGCGUACGAUGUCUGUCAAGGUAGUCUUGAUGCCGAGGCGCCGGUCAAGUUCUACCACGAAAUUCCGCAUUCCUAGGUACCUUCGUUUACGGGGGGGAUUGUUAAGAUUCGUCUAGUCGGAGAGACGACGCUUGCAAUUCACCCUGUAAAUGCUUGGAGUUAUAAACUUGGGAAUGUUUUUUGUUACUUUUUUACAAUCAUUUUUCCAAUUAUUUAUAGGUAGUUCCAGCAUGUUUCCAGUUUGCCCCAUUACGAAAUAGAACAUUUUGAUCAAGCAAUUUAAUCGUAAUAACACAGUGGGGUCGAAAAAACGGCGUCAAGAACAGUUGGAUAAUUUCUUGCCAGCAAAAUAAUAUGGUUUUUGUUCUCGAACGGCAUAUCUAAGGAAGUUCGUUGAAAAAUCAAUCACCGCAAUACCGCAACCGGCUUAUCUUCACCUAACCUUAAAUCAGAAGUGGUUCGAGAAUAUAUAAAUGAAAUACAAAUAACAAGAAACGUUUAAUAACUACAUUGAUAAUUCAGAAUUGAAAAUACGUAAGCUGCAUAGAAAUAUGUGACGUUCAGCAGCGAUAAUGAAUGUAGUAAUUGAAAGUAAUCAUAAACAAGCCAACAAACAUGUUCUAUGAAGCUAAAAAAGAUGCUCUCCUGUAUGAUCUCACCCUAUAACCAGAGAAGGUAUUCACUUAUGAAGUAGGAAACAGGAUAAACUAAUAGCUUAUUGAUAAAACAAAACAGAUUUAAUGGAAUGUAAAAACAUGAAAUUAUUAUUUGUGUAUGUGUUUUUUGCUGGGAUAUUUUGUACUUUGCUUGCAAUUCCCGUGGAAUUCAAGCUUGGAAUGGCAACAGCAGCUUAUCAAAUUGAGGGUGGAUACAACUGUGAUGACACAGCAUUAUUUAUGCAGCAAAAAAUGAUCAUGACUGGGCGACAUUUUUCGUUGUGGAAAUUUCUUUUACGAUUUUUCUGAUUUUCUGGUAGAAAAAGUGAUUUUUCUGUGCACUAUAUUUGAGCUUAUUCUGUCCCUUAAGGCCUGUUUAAUCUGGAAACUAAUAAAUCAGUGUGUUAAUAAUAUCACACAAGAGAUUGGUGUCUUUCUGUACCCU